CUUUGGUUACACCACUGAAAUGAGUUUGCACUAAUGAAUAUACCCCAUGCCACAUGAUUCAGGUUGUAUCUGUAACACUGGUUACACCACUGAAAUGAGUUUGCACUAAUGAAUAUACCCCAUGCCACAUGAUUCAGGUUGUAUCUGUAACACUGGUUACACCACUGAAAUGAGUUUGCACUAAUGAAUAUACCCCAUGCCACAUGAUUCAGGUAACACUGGUUACACCACUGAAAUGAGUUUGCACUAAUGAAUAUACCCCAUGCCACAUGAUUCAGGUUGUAUCUGUAACACUGGUUACACCACUGAAAUGAGUUUGCACUAAUGAAUAUACCCCAUGCCACAUGAUUCAGGUUGUAUCUGUAACACUGGUUACACCACUGAAAUGAGUUUGCACUAAUGAAUAUACCCCAUGCCACAUGAUUCAGGUUGUAUCUGUAACACUGGUUACACCACUGAAAUGAGUUUGCACUAAUGAAUAUACCCCAUGCCACAUGAUUCAGGUUGUAUCUGUAACACUGGUUACACCACUGAAAUGAGUUUGCACAAAUGAAUAUACCCCAUGCCACAUGAUUCAGGUUGUAUCUGUAACACUGGUUACACCACUGAAAUGAGUUUGCACUAAUGAAUAUACCCCAUGCCACAUGAUUCAGGUUGUAUCUGUAACACUGGUUACACCACUGAAAUGAGUUUGCACUAAUGAAUAUACCCCAUGCCACAUGA